CUCUUGCUUUUGCAUCGGAUAUCGGCUCCCUGGUGGUCAUUGGGAGAUUUCACGACUUGGGCAUAACAUUUGGGGGCUCGUCUGGGAUCUACCACCGGCUCCACAGGAAGACCAAUCCGGAGAGUCAUCUGCAGCUGACUCAGGGCACUGGACAUACUUGAGACACUGGGAACUCCUAGCACUAUUUGGAAAGAACUUGAGUUUCUUCAGAUUUGGAGUUUGGAGAACUACAGCUUUGGAAGUAAUAUUUUGACCUUAGUUAUCACUCAGGGCAAGGCAGGUUAAUGUCAUGAAAUAAAAUGGAGAAUCAGGAGUUAUCUUAAUCAAGAUAAGCAAUUAAGAGACUGAUAGACAUAGCAGUUACAUAGUGUGAUGAACAUGGCAGUCAAACUGUGGAAGAGUCAAUCAGAGUCCUGCGGAUUCUAGUACUGGCAAGAGAGAAUUCAGCGUGGAAUCAUCUCUAAGUGUCUGGCCAAAGCUGAAGUCUGGCUAGCCUCCAUGAAUGCUGUGAAAAUUCUCUGGCUGCAGUCCUGACGUCCUAAACAUCUGAGGUUGCAUCAUUUUUCCCACAGUUGCUUCUGGACUGAAUGUGGGCAGCAUAUGAUGUAAACAGGUCAGGAUGAAGUGUAGACAGUGUCUUCAGAUUUUCUCUCCUUUCUUUCUCUCUCUUUUCUCCCUUUCUUCCUCCCUCCCUCACUUCCUUUUCUUUUUCUUCCUUUCCUUCUCACUCUCCCUCU